AAGACCCGGAGAAGCGGGCUCUCCCCCUAGCGCCUCCUCGGAGGCGCCUCCGGGACGCACUGGGCAUGUUCCGUCGCUGGGUCAGGGUUUGCUGACACCCAGGAAGCUUCUGCGGCAGCAGUGCCCCCUCCACGGCGGAUUUCUUUCCCCACUCCCUCAGUGGGCUCUGGCACAAAUACAAGUGGCCCGAGGCAGCCUUGGUCUCCCUCGCCGGGAGAGGCAGAAGGUCCUUGGGAACCGGAGCUCAAGUUUUCUCCCAGAGAACUUCGCAGCCUUCUCCUUUUUCAGCCCCAAGAAAUCGGAGACCUUUUUCGAGAGCCUUUGAUUGCUCUUCAACGACACAGGUCAAUUAAAUGCGUAUUUAUUGAGUGCCACUAUUUGACAGGCACUAUGCAAAGAGCUAAGGAUGGGAACCCUAAAACAAAAACUCCACAAUGCCUGUCCUCAGGGAGCUUACACCUUCCAUCAGGGGAGGGGAUAUUUUAAUAAAUAACUGGUGUCUAAACUCUGACAAA